CCAGCAGCUGCGGUAAUACGUAGGGUGCAAGCGUUAAUCGGAAUUACUGGGCGUAAAGCGUGCGCAGGCGGUUAUAUAAGUCAAUUGUGAAAUCCCCGGGCUCAACCUGGGAACUGCAGUUGAGACUGUAUGGCUAGAGUGUGUCAGAGGGGGGUAGAAUUCCACGUGUAGCAGUGAAAUGCGUAGAUAUGUGGAGGAAUACCGAUGGCGAAGGCAGCCCCCUGGGAUAACACUGACGCUCAUGCACGAAAGCGUGGGGAGCAAACAGGAUUAGAUACCCUGGUAGUCCACGCCCUAAACGAUGUCUACUAGUUGUCGGGAUUUAAUUAUCUUGGUAACGCAGCUAACGCGUGAAGUAGACCGCCUGGGGAGUACGGUCGCAAGAUUAAAACUCAAAGGAAUUGACGGGGACCCGCACAAGCGGUGGAUGAUGUGGAUUAAUUCGAUGCAACGCGAAAAACCUUACCUACCCUUGACAUGGUUGGAAUCCCGAAGAGAUUUGGGAGUGCUCGCAAGAGAACCAAUACA
rnacentral:rRNA from 1 species